GGAGGACGGGCCCGGGGGGAAACCGGGUCGGGGCUGGCAGCCGCGGCUGUGGGACGCGGGGCUGCUUGUUGAGGUUCUCUGCUGUUAGCGGAUAAAACGUGAAACUUUGUGCACAGCGGCCUGACUCCUGUUGACUGUAACUUCCCCGACGUGGCCCGGUGGCCCUGGGGCCUCGCUGGCGCCCGCGGUGCCCCGGGGGUUUGGGGGAGCUGGUCUGCCCCAGAGUCCGGUCAGGUUGGGUGGUGCCGUCCCCGUUCGGACAGGGGCGAACUUCACAUAUUUGGACCUAGUUAGGUUAGGGGGAAGGGAUGUUCUGAGCUAAUCCCAUGCUGGUGAGGACCCACAGUCAGGCACCCCGUUUUGUAUCGGGGCUGCCCUGUAACAGUUACAGCCUCGUUGCCGGGGUCACCGUUGCAGUAAAACGCCUGUAACAUUUUGAGGGAUGUGAGUCUGGGUCGUGGCCACCGCUGCUCGCGCGCGGUGUCAGCGAGCUCGCGGGGGCCUGGGGGGCGUCUCGUCGAGGCGGGGUUGCUAGGUGAGGCGGGCAGCCGCGGUGCGAGUGUCGGCAUCGGGGUCGUCGUCCUCCUGGUGCUCUCGGGUUGGAAAUCUGCCCUUGUGGGGCAGAUGCAGCGCGGUCACCCUGGCGCUCGCAGAGGCUUAAGAAAAUCAGCAGCAGUCGAUGCCCGAGCGCAGUUGGAAGUUGUAGGUGUUGCCGUCUCUUUAUUUCCUGUUGUCUGUUCAUUGGUGUGUGUGUUUAUGUCUUUAUUCCUAAAAAUCAGAGAUGGAAAUCCGUUGUCUUCCUGGGUAGAUUGAAGUGGUUAUUUAUUUGUCUUUCAAAGAUUUAUUUAUUUAUACAAGAACCGGGGUACAGGCCAGAUGUGCAGGAGAGUGAUGGCAUCCACCAGAGUCAGAGCGGGGAACAGAACAGGCAGAGUGAGGAAGUACACUGCAGAGGGGAGCAGCGGGGAGACAGGAGGAUGUGGGACCCUCGCCUGCCCAGCGCAGCCUCAACUGCCCGUGCCACCGGGGAGGCCCUGAAGUGAUUAUUUUGAAAACUUCAUCCUCUUACCACCCCAGGCCUGAGGAACAGGGAGCGUCAGGGCACUUGUUGGCUCUGCUUUCUUUUCUUUUUCUUCUUUUUUAAGGUGAAUCCAUUUGUUGAUUUUGAGGAUGAGGGAACAAGAUCAUUUUGAUUGUAGGAUUCGCUAUGUAAUUUGGAGCCGCCUUGCAUUGUUUCAUUCAUCUUCUUGCAGCAUGAAUUUCCAGAUUUUGUCCCAAACUGAAUAUGACUUUACGUGUUACAUUGAUCCCAUUGUUAAAUACAGAUAUAGACCUUUUUUUUAGUGUUGUUACCUGUCAAGAUUUUUUUUUACCUUUUAAGUCUUCUUUAUUCUUUAAUUUUGUGGGUUUUGUGCCUGCUAUUAUUUGAGAUGAUGUAAUUCAUUUUUGCAAUAAUCCAGAAGAAACUUGCAUUAAAAUUGAGCCUCAGUGAUCAUAAUGGCAGACAAUCUUGGCAACACAAUUGAAUCCACCAAAAGCAAAAAUUGCCUUCCCAUAGGUGUGCUUUCUUGCCCUUUAUUCUUGCCCCACAACUAAAGUCUUAGGGUAUGAGCCCUUUUCCUAAACCAAAAUGAUUAUUCAUAACAUAGUCUGAAGGGUAAUUAUUUUGUUGGCAUUUUUCCCUGAACUUUCUUUUUUUUUUUUGAGGGGAGGUUUAUUAGGGAAAGGGACAGAAGAAUAAAGGACACUUGCAUAGACACAAGCGGACAGGAAGAGCUGCCCUGAAGGAACAGGUUUGCUCAGAGAGGCCUGCAUGGUUGCAGGCAGGCGCUCAUGAGGAGAGCGGCCUCCACUGAGGGAGGUCAGUGAGGAGAAGCCCUGGCAUAGUGCAGGUAGGAGGGCUGCUGCCCUGAGAGGGAGAGAGUUGGUGAAAAGAAGCACCUGCAUAGUCACAGGUGGGCAGUGGGAGUGCUGCCUUCCCUGAACUCUUGAACCAUCUUGCUUUAAGGAAAACUGAAGUAAAUAAUCCUCUCAUCAAAUUGGUACAGCAAGUGUGUGUGCUAGACUGGAGGAAUCCAACCCUUUUAGAAAGUGAUGAUUGCAAAUUUUCCUGUGUUGUACUAUGCCAGGUAUUUGAUUAGCACUUCGUAAAAUGCUGGUGUGAGUAUGUUAGUAUUCUUCCAAGAACAGAAUCACGUGACCUCGCAGUAGGUAAUCCAGCUUCAUUUAGAACAAAUCCAUUUUGUACGUUACAUUUUUAUUAAAAAAAGAACAAACAGACUUAAGAAUGGGAAAUUUUGGAGCACUUACAAUCUGAAAUGUAUGUGCAAGGUUAGUUAACUUUGGGCUUUUUACAAUAUAAUGAUUAUAUUAGUAAGUAUAUAGUUGGGGAGAAAAACCAGCCACAUGAGAUACCCAGGUUUCUGACCUCAUUAUUUUGACUUUAUAGGGAAAUAAAUCCCAGAGAUAUAAAAUCAUUUUUGGAUUUUUUAAACUGUAGCUGAUUCUGAGACUUCUUAAUGCCCUUGUGUUAAAGGAAGACAAAAUUCUAGUUUAGCGAAAUUUUGUUUGAGUCUUCUGACCACUGGGUGAGUUCUUAUAGAUGGAGAAGAGAUAACGUUAAAGUCUCAUCUACCCAGGCAUUUUAGUUUAGGACUGUUUCUUGGGCAUCUUUAAAUAAGCAUAAUGUAGCAGUACUAUCAUAGAUAACUAUUUCAAGGCAAAUUUGUUACUUACAUAAAUGUCAUGAACUUCACCUGACUGUGUUUGAUUGUAUUCUGGAAGUCAAGGAAAUGAAUAUGUAUUUAAAUCAUUUAUUGCAAAUCACAAUAAAAUUGUAAAUACAUUACCAUAGUACAAGUUGUUGUAUAACAGGAAGGCACUGGAAGCAUUGGUUAACAACGUCAGUAAGAAUGAGUUAAAUUACCAAUAACUAUUUCUGGAUCUUGUUUACUUGCUUAUCAAAAAGAACUGACUCCUUGCAGGACAAAAAUUCAGAACCCACUGUGGCCUCUCAUCAAACCCAUAGAAUCCCUAUUAAUAAGUGUGAAGCGCCCAUGCUGAGGAUAGACUCAAGCUUAGCACCUAGCUAAUAUUUGCUAUAAUCUAAAUUAAUGAUUAAAGUCAAGAUUUGCUUAAUGGUUAAGUUUUUUUGUUUUAAUCCAGCUAUGUUAGAUACUAAAGAAGGCUUCCCCACAAUCCAUAUGCAUCUGCUUUGACUGGUGGUUUCUGUCAACCUACAAAGACUGUGACUUAUUGGUGAGGGCAGCUGGACAACUCUGAGAGCAACUUAGAGAAAUCCAUCUUGGGCACACUCUAUAAAGGAGCUCCUUCUGUGGAAAUAGCACCCCAGAUAAGUGCACAAAAGCAAGACACCCUCGUGGACCUACUUCCUCCCGCUUUCAACACCCUGCUGCCUGAAGCUAUGCUUGAUACUAAAGGAGGUUUCCCUACAUAAACAUCUUCUAUAUUUUGAAAUUGCAACUAUGGACAGUUAUGGCUAAUCCUUAUAGAUUGUCUUCCCUUCUUUUAACAUCUUGGAUGAAUUUGGGGCACACUAAUGUGUUAUGUGAAGAUGGAUGUUGAAUUGUGUAGAAUUUGACAGCAGUAUCAAGAACUGAUGAGGAGGAGAAGAUGGAAAGGAGUCUAGCGACUUAAAAAUCUCAUAGCAUUCUCUGUGAGCUCAAUAAAGAAAAGCAUAGUUAGCAGUUGUGGUGGCAAGUACUGACUCCGGGGCCAGACUGUCGAAUUGAAGCCCAGCUCUGCCUCUUACUGGCUGUGGGCCUUUGAGCAAGUGACUUCCGCUUUGGGUGACACUUUCAUGUGGAUAGUGCCUGUCUCCUGGGGCUGUAUGAGGGUUAGCACUUCCAGGAUCCUUGGAGUGAGAAAGUAGGAUCCAGUUCUUGUUAGUCCUUGGGGCCAGGACAACUCCCAGGCGUCAGAUCUUUCCCAGUGAAGAGGGGCCGAAGUAACUUGCCAGUGAGAGAGGCUCCCGGACCUCAACAUCCAUGCUUGUUUAAGUGCCUGCAGUGCUGUUGCGGAGGCAUCCUUUGUAUGGGCCUGUGUGUGGGGAGAGUCUGUAGCUAGGGGCUUCAUACACCUCUAAGGUUUAACUGUUUCUGCUGCUUGGCUAAAAGCCAGUUACAAGAUCAAAGCUGCCCUAAAAGUUCAGACACACUCAGAAACUCACUAGAUACUUACUUUGAGGGAAUAAUAUUCUCUGAGCUUUUUCUGCCAGAGAGAAUGUUCUAAAGCAGGAUCAUUUCAGAAGAUUUGGAAGCCAAAUCCCUGUAGCCAUACAAUGCUUUAACAGAAUCAUCCAAUUAUUUGCCAACCUCCAGUUUUGGCUUUGUUUGGCCUGGCUUUUUAGUUGUUAACUCCCACUGGUGGUUAUUGUUACAAAGUUAUAUGGUUUCUGGGUUAUGUUUGGUGUCAAAACAAUGUGUAUUUAUGUCCUUAUUAACAUUGAAUCUAGAACUGCUAGUAGUUUACCUAAAGCUUUUCAAAAAGGAAAGAUUUUCUAGCAUUGUAAGGAGUGUGUGUGUGUGUGUGUGUGUGUGUGUGUGUGUGUCUGCGCAUGCAUGCGCCACACACACUUGGAUAAUUUAUUUAAGAUUCUUAAUCUCUUUAUAUGAUCUAUUAUUCUCCCUGAAGUAAAAAAAAAAAAAGUUCUCAACCCUUAAAAGAAUGAUUUUUUUUUUUUUUUUUUAAUUUUUUUUUUUUGUGUGCGACCCCUGCCAGUGGCCGGGAAUCGAACUGGCACUGCAGAGGCUGCGGGCACCCUUGCAAUGUAGCGCUCAUCCGCUGCGCCACCAGAGGAGGCCCAAGAAUGAAUAUUUGAUAAGCUAUGAACUAUGAUCUCUGUGACUAAAUUUCUUUUUAGGAGUUAUCUGUGGGGAAGAAAAAAAAAUGGCCGUAGGGCUACUAUGAGUAUAGAGACUAGCGGAUUACAGGUUGGGGUCGCUGAGCCUUUGGUUAUUACAAUGGACUCUCCAGUGGUUUCUGGGUUGGUUGGUUGGUUGGUUGGUUGGUUGGUUGUUUUUUCUUUGCUAGUUUACAACCCUUUCAUAUCGUGGUUAGAUGUCAAUAAAGAUUUUUUUUUAAAGAAUGUUUAAGAAUAGGAUUAUUUCUUAUAAUUUGAGAUCUUAUUUCUGAUAAAGCUUUAUAAAUAGCUUUAAAAAGGCAAAAUUCAGUUUUUAUAAAAUUGGCUACGAUAAAGUUGAACAACUAGUGGCUUCUUAGGGAUAUGGGCUUAUAUUUCUAGUUGCCAGAUUUCUGCCACCCUCUGUGAGUGGCUCACAAGACUGAGUGCCGAGUGCUCAGUGGGCUCCCCUCAAUCGGACGCUUUGUCCGUGACCUCCAGGUUAAGGGACAUACAGGGUGGGGGUCUUCUAUCUGCUCAGUCUGUUACCCCCAUUUUGUUGGGCUCACAUCUCCAUUCGCUGUUCAUACUGCAUUUUAUCAGGCCGCAGCACUUUGUCUUCUCAUUACUUCUCCUGAUGCCGUCAGCAGCAACAUCUUGCUUGUUUGCCUCUUUAUACAAAUCUGACCAUUCUACAUACAUGUCUUCGUAAGAUGUUGCAGAUGAUAAACUUGGGACUUAACCAUGAAGAAGUUUCUGGUUUCUGAAUUUCCAGAAGCAUGUAACUCAGAGGUCAGCAUUGCUUCUUAGCACACAGCUGCUGUGGACAAGGCAUGUACCACUUGGAUAGACAGAGCUAUACACAAAGCAUUUGGCAUAGUAUUUCAGUUGAAAUGUGCUAGGGCCAAACUGGCUGUGUUCUCACAGUGCAGUGAGAAUAUGGGGGGCGGGGGGCUGGUGAUUAAACCACUGUACAGUCAGGGAGCCCAGAAAAGUCGGAGAGUGAACCCCACAUGGAUGGAAAGUACAGAGAGGUGAGGGGAGCAUAUGGUGUGUUGGGGAAUACCAGCUCCUCAGAUCCGAGGUCGGCGAACUACGGUUCACAUGCCAAAUCCAGCCCGCCACCUGCAUUUGUGUAACCCAGGAGCUAAGAAGUGGUUUUCACUUCUAUGACACAAUGAAAAUCAAAUUUUGGCAUCCAUAAAUAAAGCUUUAUUGCAAUCCAUGCUGAUUGGUUUACAGAUUUGGAUUUUUUAGCACCUCAGAGUGAAGUGAUUGUAGCAGAAACCGACCGUGGCAGUCUCAGGCUUUGCCCUGCUGUCCAGUGCCAUGGACAGCAGCCCGCCACCAUGGUGUGUGAGUUCUUCAUCCGCUUGGAAUGGCAUGCUUUUAGGGCGCAGUGCAGUGUGGAUUAUUAGGAAUUACAGAGUAGGCCUAUUUUUAAUAAAAAAGAACAGUAGGGAAAAUGUCAGUGUUGUUACUCUCAGCAGCAGCACAGUGCCCCCAGCUGCCAGCAAGGCAGUGGUCAGAAAAGUUGGGACAUUUUUAAAGGGACUCCGUCAUCGCAGCAGAACUUCUUCACCAACAUGAAAACGAGGCUACAACUGAAGUAAGUUUCCUAGUGGCUCAUUUGUCAGUCAACCAUUUACUGAUGUUGAAUUUCGUAAAUUGUGCUUGCAGCAGCUGAAGAAAUGUGUCCAGAGAAAACAAACUGCUUUAGGAGUGUCAGCCUUUCAGCAGGAACGAUUUCUCAAAAUGUUGAUGUCAUUGGGAGCAACAUAAAUAGUCAAAGAAGGAGACAGUGACUGCCUGCAGUUUUCCUUGGCCAUUGAUGAGUCAGCAGAGGUUGCUGUUACUGUUCAGUUAUUCUGGAAUCAAGGCUACCUUUCAAGUGACUGAGGUGCUGGCCUCUGAAUAGAUACAAUAGCAGCUUUUGAGGAUGGUCUCCAGAAUGUUGAGAAAAUGCUAAUGUAGGCGACCUAAAGUAUGAUCUGCUAAUGGCAACACUAUCAGUUACAAGUGGUGAUAGUAAGAAAAUGUGUGGAGGGCCUCCCCAGUGGCACAGGGGUUCAAGUCUCAGCGCUAUCAAGCUGUCUCAGCCACUGCAGCCUGAGUUUGAUCUCUGGCCAGGAAGCUGACCUACAUGUGGCAACAGACCUCUCCUGUCUCCCCGCUGCUCUCUGGUGAAUCCUCUUACCACCACCCCCGCACCUCUGGCCUGCACCCCCCCCAUGUUUCUAUGCAUAAGUAAACAAAUCUUUAAAAAAAAUGUGUGGAGCAGAAAAAGUCUUAAAUGAACAAAUUUACAAAGUUUAUAGCCUAUGAAUGUGUAAGGUGCUUAAAGCCUGUGGUUAUUCAUUGUGUUAUUCAUCAGCAGGCACUUGGCAGGAUGCUUGACUCUAUUAUUUGUUAAUGAACCAUUUGGAUCAGUGAAGAACUUGGGGAUUUAACCAUCAAUCCCAUGAAUUUUUGUCAGAAAUAGAUGCUGGGUAUUGUGAUACAUCCCACUAUACAACAGUUUGAUGACUUAGCAGUAACGUUUUCUUGCAGUUUUUUCAGUUCAGGGCUGAGAUUGAAAAAAAAUUAUUUUAAAGAUUUAUUUAUUUAUGCAUACAAGAGCUGGGGUACAGGCGAGCAGCACACAAGACAGGAGAGGUCUGUCUCAUCAUGUGGGUUUCUCCCUGGCCGUGGAACCGGUGCUGCAGAGUCUGCAGAUUGCGUCAUAGUGCGGUGGUGCUUAACCCCUUGCGCCAUCAGGGAGACGCGGGAUUGAAAUUUUUGUAGAUGAGAGAAAUCAUUCUCAGACAUAACUGAAUGGCUCUGGAAAUUAGUUUUGCUGUAGACUUGGUAACUUUUUUUUUUAUGAAUUCACCCUGAAAUUAUGAAGCAGAAUAUCACUUAUAUGUAAGCCUUACAUUGCAGUGAGGUAAUUUCAACACUAACUAAAUUCUAAAUUAUGUCAAACUGCCUUCCUGUGCUGUCAAAAGUUAAAACGGAGCUGAUUCCUCAUUCCUAUACUUAUUUACCCCGCUAUGAUUUCAAACACACUACAGUUCUACCAGUGAUUUUAUAUCUUGGUGUGACUGCAAAAGAAAUGCCCCUAUUUUAGGAUCCAACUAAGGAGUUUAUAUCAAAACUUACAUUGGAAGUGAUUAAAAGGCCAGUAGCAAACUGUAAUAGAAUCUAUAAAUGUCUUAGAAACAGACAUACUCAAAAUCAUGCUUAGGGGAUGAGGUUGGCACUCAGCACCUAUGUAUGUGAAAGACAUUUCUAAAAAUGAAAAAUGUAAAAUCUUAUUCAGAGUCAGCACUAACAUUUGCAGCUCGAUAUUUGCAAUCAGUUUUGAACAUUUGCAAUCAGUUUUGAUAUAAGAAUCAACAACUUUGUAGAUUUUAUUAUCCCCACCCCCAAAAAAUCCUUUCUUACUUUGUUAAUGUAUGAUUUUAUUUUGCAUUACGCAAAUAUUAAACAUCCACUAGUCAGAUGAAUGACAAGCAAUAUAAGACAUUUUCUAUAAUUAAACAAUUUCUCAGGUUUUAGUCUAUUUAAGAAUUAACUGUGGAAUUUGUCUUAGAAUUGCAGAUUUUGAGGCCUAGUCCCAGAUUUUAAUUUAGUAGGACUGUAGUGGAGCCUAAGAACUUGCAAAUUAUUGACCAACUCUGUGACUCUGCUAGGAGAUAGAUUAUUAUAGCUUGCUCUUUUUUCUUAUGUGAACUACAUAAAUGGAUGAUGAGUAGGAGAAUGGACAUUAAUAAGAACAGCAAAGGCGAGGCCAGAUUGUUUUAGCCAAAGCUAAGCUGUUUUAGCCUCACUUAUAUAAAAAUUUCAGAUUAGAAAGACUAAGUGUCAAACUGAAAAACCCAGAGAUUAGAAUUUGGAAAUUGUCUAAGGGCUUGAAAUAGGGGUUAAUGAUGAGAGUGAUUUUCUAGGGAUGCUGACGUGGUGGGAUGAACUAUAAAUAGCUGGAGAGCAAGAAGGUUUGCAGGAGGUGGUAAAGUGAGCAUCGAGGAGUCACCAACAAGGACAUGGGUGAAGGAAAUGGGUGUGUCCGACUUCUUCACGUACUAAGGAUGGGAAGUUAACGCUGUCCACCUCCUUACAGAACAUGUACCAUAAGUAAUAGCAGCCGUGUGAACAGUAAGGCGACAUCUUGAACAGGUUUUUCAGCUGGUACUCGGUGAUUCUGGAAAGGCCACGAGAGAGAAGCAGCGGUCUGCGUUGCCCUCGUUGAUGAGGUUCUGAGAAGAGAAUUUUCUUUAUUUUCAUGACGAAAAGUGUUUGAAGGAGAGUUUUUGAUGCCCAGAACUUGAUUCAUUUCCUUCUGAAGCUUUGCAUCGCCUUUUCUGUGGCAAGUGGAGAGUGCAGUUUUGACACUAACAAAAAAAAGUCCAUUCUCUCCACUAGACUGUAUUACCAAACAUUGUAGUCAGUUAUCUUUAUUUUUCUUUUCUUUUUUUUUUUUUUUGUAGUCAGUUAUUUUUUAUUUCAUCAAUAAAAAUUUGUGGAAAUUUGGCUUCUCAUUAUGUUGGUACAGAACAUCUCGGUUUGGCCCUCGAAGUCUAAAACACUAUCCGGUAUUUUAUUUAUUUAUUUUUUUAAUAGAGGCAUGUUUUAUUUCUUUGUUUGUUUGUUUUGUUUAUACAUGCACUGGGUACAGUCAGAAGCGCAGGAGGGUGAGAGAAUUCACCAGAGCCAGAGCAGGGAGCAGAGCAGGCAGAAGGACCGAAGUACACUACUGAGGGGAGCAGCGGAUGGCAGGAGAGGUCUGCGCGCCAUGUGGGACCCUCCUCUGGUGGCCAGGGAGCUGCCAGGGAUUGAACCGGCGCUGCAGAGGCCGCGGGCAGCUUUGCAACCCAGCGCUCAACUGCUGCGCCACCAGGCAGGCCCCCUAUCCGGUAUUUUAGAAAAAGUUUGCAGAAAAAGUUGGCUGACCCUGCUCUGGAGUGUGGUGUGCUGGGCAGGGUGAGGAGCUGGCCAGUGGCGGCUGGGCAGGUAGAGUUGAGGAGGCUGUGCGGGCCCCUCCUCUGGCAGCGGGGAGCUAGAUGCGCUUUAGGGCACCAGCUGCUUGCUCCCUGUUGUCUCCAAACUUGCCAGGUUUUCCUGUCAGGCAUCUUAACAGUCUUCUGUUUCGUCACUGCUGAGGGCAGCAGCGGGGCGGCAGGAGAGGUCUGCUGGGCCGUGUUGGUCAGCAGCCUGGCUGGGGGUCAAACUCCUGCUGCAGUGGCUGCUGAUAGCUUCACAGUGCUGCGACUUAACCCCUUGUGCCACCAGGGAGGCCCUGAUUUGAAAAGUUUUUAAAGAAAAGUAUUAGUUUAGCAAAGCAGUUUAGCAGUGUGGUACGGGAAGAAAAUUUACCAAAAAGCUAAUGUUAUUUGUAGUGGGAUUGAGGGUGAUUUUCGCCCUUCUCCAAAUUCUUUUGUAAAGUGGCUGUUUCUCUCAUGACAAUAUUUAACAUUUACAGAUAGACGGUGAGUAGGAUCGAGUGAGUGAUGUCCCAGGAGGGAAGGACACCUUUGAUGCGAAGCCAGCCCCAGCGGGGUGGACUCCAGAGACUGUUCUUCAGCCAGGGGGCUGCGCUCACAGUUGCUGCCCCUCUGCCCGCGGGUCAAAGGGUGGCUUUCUCCGCCGAGCCGAGCCCAGGGCCUCUCGCGGAUCUUGACUCAUCCCAGCCCCUGAGACGGCGCGCGGGGAAGCUAGCCUGUGUUUCUCUGCUCGGCGCUUACCCUCGAGCGUGGUGGGUCUUCUGGGAGGUGGGGGUGUGAGGAAUUCAGCCCCAUGGCCCUGUCCCCUCUCGCCCCCUUCUUGGUUAGACCCCACAGUUUGAGUUGCCUGAGAGUUGGCUGAACUGAGGAGUGUGCCUCAGCCUAUUGGUUUCUUAGCUCUCGUGCUUUCAAACCUGUGAGGUGGCUCCACGGGUCGGGCUUCAGGGAGUGCAUUUCCAUGGGAAAUUGAGGUUUCGUCCCAGUGCAUGAGAAUAGGAGCGCGCCUGUCCUCGCCUUCCGGCCCUGGGCUGCCUGUUCACCGGCUGGAGGGGCCGCGCGAGGAGGGGAAGGCUAGCCACCCCUUCCGGCGCUCAGGUCGCGGUGGCACGGCUCUGAGUGACUUACGCACAAGUUUAGACUCUUGCCUCGUCUGGUCAUAGUGGGUUGAAAGUGGGUGCUCUUCCCCCAAGAUCCGGUCACGCAGCCCCUCCCCCAUGCGGGCUUCCUGCAGGGAAGUCUGCCCCCUCCCUCAGGGACCAUUUUCUGCACUGUCAAGCCUUUCACAAGGGAAGGACACGGUUUCCAGCGCUCAGUGCCCUGCCUGCUGGUGCCUUGUAGUGUUGCCUUGUGGACUCGGCCUGUCAUUUGGCAGACUUGGCAUUUUAACCCUGCCUCAUUGAAGGCACUGUGGUGACUUCUUAGAUGCUUGCUCUCAGGACUUUAUAAUUUAGUAGAGAAAAGUACACACAUUUUAAUAUGCAGUGCAGGGUAAGGGCUGUAAGUGUCUAGACGAGUGACGUAAACACUUGGAGAGGAUUACUUACCCCUGAGGACAAGGGCAGGCAGGGAGGAGAGUUGAGACCUCAAGGAAGGCUUCAUGGAGGGGUGCCUCAGAACAGUGUUGAGUUCAGCCUUGACAGAUUUCUACAGGUAAGGAAGGGGACAGGAACGCUAGGCAAGUUACAGCUCUGUUUGCCAAACGCCAAGAACUCCAGCUUCACGGCUGGCAUGGAGAGGAACCGGGGAGCCGCGGCGGAAAGGCACGUUGAGCCUGGAACGCCAGGCUGAGCAGUGGGUGCUCAUCAGUUGCUCCUGGGGUUGCUGAAGGUGUUUAAGAAAGUCCCUUCACUGUGAGCUCCAGGACGAGCACAGCCCUGUGCAGUGUAAAUUGGACGGGAAGGGCUGAAGCAAAGAGACAGGUUUACUGGAAGGUGCCAGGCUCCUGACCCGUGGCAAUGGGGUGGAAAUGAAGAGGCUUAAAAUGAGGUGAUGUGUUUCCUCUGUCCUCUCUGGCAUCCCUGCUUCUCGUGCCCUCAAGCCACAGCAUCUAUGUGUGGCGCUGUGGACAUGGCUGCCGCAAGUAGGCAGGCUGCCCAGUACCUUCUCCAAAAGGACAAGGUUGUGCCCAAACCAGGGGCAGCACAUCCUAGGGUUCUUCCCCUGAGGGGAGUUCUCCCACCUCCCUAGGUGGACACGGAGGGCUGACACCAAACAGGCACUGCUCUCAGGGAUGCCUGAUUAGGCAAAUAAAAACACGGUGCCAGUUAGAUCAGAAUUCAGAUACACAAUAGGUCAGUUGUACGUUUUCUCAUGAAAUACUUGGUGUAUCUGAGAUUUCUCUUUCACUGAGUGUCCUGUACGUGAUCUGCCCAUCCUGACCACAUCCAGCUCCUGGCCCGGGACUCCACAGUGCCCUCUGCCAUUCCCACCUGUCAUCUGCUGAGUGAGUCUCAGCAGGAACAGUCAGGGCGCUGCCCACGAGAGGGACCAGCCUAGUUUGGGGGAUUGGUAUCGCAGUUCAGUGCCCAGGGGACAGGAAAGCUUGAGGCCCUCGCCUUCCUGAAUUCUGUGCAGUGUCUCAGAAUGGGCCUGGGGUUUGUGGUAAUAACCCUAAAAUUGGGCUCCUCCCAUGCCUCACCUCAUCAUUUCUCCUGUACCUCAGUUUUUCCCCUCUCGUAUCCCACAAAGGCACUUCAAGUUCUUGGACCCAGACAUACCAUUUCAAAGCUCAUGGUGUUCCCUUUGCCUGAAACACCCCACAUUCUUCACCCUCCUUCCACCUUCCUCUGUCCAGCCUGGGUCAAGGACACUCCUCUGGGUUCUCAGAGCCUGAACAACCUCGCUUGUAAGCGCCCGUGAAAAUGUGGGUUACCUGGUAUGGCUGGGCCCUGCUCCUCAUCAGUGUCCUCGGUGCCCACACUGCCCUCACCUAGUAGGUGCUCAGUAAAGAUGUGCUGAAUGAGCACGAUUGGAUUUGGAGGCUUAACUGCCAGUUAACUCCCUCACCCUAGUUGUGCCCUUUGGGGAGCACCCUGUCCCAGCCUCUCCUUGCCAGUACAUACCUGCACACUUAAGAUGGGGGGUGGGGUGGAGGUUCAGCUCUUCAUUCGCAUUAAAGAAAGUCUUGUCCCUGACCUUACCUGUCCCCACACCUUCCGUGUGCCCAGUGGGCACUCAAGACACUGGCGAGACUGCCUUACCUGCUAGGUUCUGCACACACCCUCACCUUCUAGAACCAUCUUUGCUGGCAUCAAAUGCCUUUUUUUUUUUUU